ACCCGUGUGUACAUGCGAUUGCC
rnacentral:siRNA from 1 species